UACGUAGGGGGCAAGCGUUGUCCGGAAUCAUUGGGCGUAAAGAGCGUGUAGGCGGCCCGGUAAGUCCGCUGUGAAAGUCCAGGGCUCAACCCUGGAAUGCCGGUGGAAACUGUCGGGCUAGAGUCCGGAAGAGGCGAGUGGAAUUCCUGGUGUAGCGGUGAAAUGCGCAGAUAUCAGGAGGAACACCAAUGGCGAAGGCAGCUCGCUGGGACGGUACUGACGCUGAGACGCGAAGGCCAGGGGAGCAAACGGG
rnacentral:rRNA from 1 species